rnacentral:rRNA from 1 species
GACGAACGCUGGCGGCGUGCUUAACACAUGCAAGUCGAACGGAAAGGCCUUUUCGGAGGUACUCGAGUGGCGAACGGGGGAGUAACACGUGGGUGAUCUGCCCUGCACGCGGGGAUAAGCCUGGGAAACUGGGUCUAAUACCGGAUAGGACCGCACGGUAGUGUGUGGGGUGGAAAGGGUUUUCGGUGUAGGAUGAGCGCGCGGCGUAUCAGCUUGUGUGGGGGGUAAUGGCCUACCAAGGCGGGGACGGGUAGACGGACUGAGAGGUUGGUAGGCCACAUUGAGUCUGAGAUGAGGCAGAGACUCCGAAGGGUGGAAGAAGUGGGGAAUACUGCACCAUGGGUGCCAGCCUGAUGCAGAGAGGCUGCGUGGUGGAUGACGGCUUUAGGGUUGUAAACUCCUUUCGACAGGGAAGAAGCGUUUUGUGACGGUACCUGGAGAAGAAGCACCGGCUAACUACGUG